GGGGCGGAGCCAAAGAAGGAAGGAAGGAGGCAGCCUACACGUGGACAAAUCAAUAGGAGAGUCAGGCGGGCUCGGAUUGGACGGUGAUUAGCCAAUCCGUGUGUACGUGAGAGAGAGAAAGCAAGAGAGAGACGUUCCGGAGAAAGAGCCGGAGCUUCGAGCCAGAAGCUGAACCAAUCAGGAGGAGGAGGAGGAGGAAGAAGAAGGGGUGGGACUUAACCUCUAGUUGUCAGGUGUGGAACAUGUUGUCGAAGGCUUUCAUGGCCGGAGUCACUGGGUUGCUGUGAGUUUUCCGGGCUGUAUGGCCAUGUUCCAGUAGUAUUCUCUCCUAGUGUUUCGCCCACAUCUAUGGUAGGCAUCCUCAGAGGUUGUAAGGUAUAUUGGAAAUUAGGCAAGUGGGGUUUAAAUAUCUGUAGAAAGUCUAGGGUGGGAGAAAGAACUCUUGUGUGUUUGAGGCAGAUGUAAAUGUUGGCCGCCUUAAUUAGCAUUUAAUGGCCUUGCAGCUUCAAAACCUGGCUGCUUCCUGCUUAGGGGAAUCAUAGAAUCAUAGAGUUGGAAGAGACCUCAUGAGCCAUCCAGUUCAACCCCCUACCAAGAAGCAAGGAGGUGUUAACUGGCCAUGAUUGUUUCCUGUCUGAAAGUCACCUGUCUUCUGAUUAUAUAAUAAUAAUAAUAAUAAUAAUAAAACUUCAUUUAUAUACCGCCCUAUCUCCCGGAUGGGACUCAGGGCGGUUUACAGUCAUAAAAGCAAACACAAACAUUACGUAACAACAUAAUACACAUUAUUAAACAAAGUAAAACAAUACAAUUAUAACAAUAAAUCACACUUACAUGACCAGAUCAAGGGGACAGGAACCAUAAAACCAAUAUAUUAAAAUGUAUCAUUUUAGGCUAGGGAAAUCUUGUGCAAUAUAUUCAGGCCCAGAAAUCGGCGGUAGUCCAAUGUAAUUACUCAAAAACCUGCCGACACCACCAGGUCUUCAGUUCCUUACGGAAAUUGGAUAAUAUAGGGGAAUGCCUGAUCUCUUUUGGCAAUGCAUGUUGCUCUUUACUUACUUCAUUUUCAUGGUUUCCUCCUUUCUGUUGAAAUUGUCCACAUGCUUGUAGAUUUCAAUGGCUUCUCUGUGUAGUCUGACAUGAUAGUUGCUAGACCCACUAAAAAAAUUCAAUAAAUGCUGCAUUCAGCAAAGGACAAGAGGGAUCCUCUCACCUCCGCAAGAGUCUACUAUAUACCAUGCAGCUGAGAACAAGUCUACAUAGGGACCACCAAAUGCAGCAUUGCCCAGACAUGAAUCAAGGAACAUGAAAGGCACUGCAGACUAAUUCAGCCAGAGAAGUCAGCCAUAACAGAGCACCUUAUGAACCAACCUGAACACAGCAUAUUAUUUGAGAGCACAGAAAUGCUGGACCACUCUUACAACCACUAUGUCAGACUACACAGAGAAGCCAGUGAAAUCCACAAGCAUGUGGACAAUUUCAACAGAAAGGAGGAAACCAUGAAAAUGAACACUAUCUGGCUACCAGUAUUAAAAAAAACUCUGAAAUCAGGACAGUAAAUAAGAAGCAACACUCUGAAAACAGAGGAAUUACAGACAUGAAUCAAUCAGGGGCAGCUAACACCUCUGAAUGAAAGAUUCCCGCAGGCAGAAAGAAGCCAGGAAAUGAAUCUGACAAGGCUAUUAAUGCUAAUCAAGGUGAUUAAUUACAACAUUCACCCUAGCCUACAACAGACAAGAGUUAUUUCUCCUACUCUGGACCUUUCACAGAUAUAUAAACCUCUCUUACUUUGUUUUCCAAUAUACCUCACAACCUCUGAGGAUGCCUGCCAUAGAUGUGGGCAAAAUGUCAGGAGAUAAUGCUUCUGGAACAUGGCCAGACAGCCUGGAAAAUGCAGAACAACCCAGAGAGAGUGACAUUCUGUAGAAAGAGGCGGAGCUUCGAAUCAGACGUUGAACCAAUCAGGAGGAGGAGGAAGAGGAAGUGGUGGGGCUUAGCCUCUAGAUGACAGCAAAGGACAAAAGUCCAGAAACAUCUGUGGGGCCACAUAGUCACCAUACAUGGAUUAGAAGAUAAUACUGUAAUGCCAUGAAGAUGCCAUGAAGCUUGGGAGAGAUUUGAUUUUCAGAGGUGCUCUCAAUGGGGAACAGCAGGCAAAUAAGACUCCCAUUGUACUGCAUUCCUGAAUGUAUCCCUUUACCUUCUAUGAAUUAAUAGUUGGUCCUGGAAGAAAAAAUCUGUAUUCUUGUAGCAAUUACAGUAAUUUAUCUGUAUUCCUAUUGGAAGUCUUAGCCACAACUGAGAGUUUUUGUGUGUGUUCUAUUUCUGCAGAAAGAGCGAAAAAGGAGAUGCUGUGUAUCUUAGUUGGUUGAUACAUAGCACAAUAAAUCCUUUCUUCAUGUGUGUGUGCCUUUAAAUUGGCUGUUAAAUUAGGGCAACUCUGCAAAUCUCACAGAAUUUUCUUAGAUAAGAAAUACUCAGAACUGAUUUUGCCAGUUCCUUCCUCAAUUAGAAUAUAGCCUCGAGAUAUUCUAAAAAUACAUAAUUUCAACUCAUGAAUUCACAUUUGUAGCCACUUAUUACCGGUAUAUAGUUGGCUUGCAUCCACAAAUUCAACAUCCAUGGCUUGAAAAUAGUUUUUAAAAGACUUCUCAAAAGCAAACCUUGAUUUUUGUCAUUUUAUAUCAAGGAUGCCAUUUUACUAUGCAAUUUCAAAAAUUAUCCACAUGUGCAGCUGAGUUAAAGUGAUGCCUUUGCUUAUCGAUGGUUUAAUGCAUUUUAAAUUUACAUUCUGUUACUACAUUCUGUAUUUUAAUCUACAGUAGAGUCUCACUUAUCCAACACUCGCUUAUCCAACAUUCUGGAUUAUCCAACACAUUUCUGUAGUCAAUGUUUUCAAUACAUUGUGAUAUUUUGGUAAUAAAUUCGUAAAUACAGUCAUUACUACAUAGCAUUACUGCCUAUUGAACUACUUUUUCUGUCAAAUUUGUUGUAUAACAUGAUGUUUUGGUGCUUAAUUUGUAAAAUCAUAAUGUAUUUUGACGUUUAAUAGGCUUUUCCUUAAUCCCUCCUUAUUAUCCAACAUAUUCGCUUAUCCAACAUUCUGCCAGCCUGUUUAUGGUGAGACUCUACUGUAUAUACCAUGUGUCUAAAUAUAUGUAUUUUAUAAUUAUGUAUUUUUAAUAUAUGUAUUUUAUUGUAUGCAUUUUAUUAUGUUGAUGUGUUUUGAUUAUGUUGUACCCUGCAUCAAGCCACGAGGAGGGGUGAAUAACAAAUAACAUUUAUUUUUAGCUACACAAAAGUAUUAAAAAUAUUAUAUAAAAUUAACUUCAAGCUACGUGCAUGAGCAAUUUAUGAAAUACACAUUUUGUACUGAGACAUACAUAUAUGUGUGUUAUAUUAAUGUGUUUUUAAUAUAUGUAUAAGUAUAUAAAUUUCAUAUUUAGACUUGGGUCCCAUUUCUGUGAUAUCUCAUUAUAUAUACAAAUACAGUUAUUCCAAAAUUACCAUGGGGGGAAUCUAAAACACUGGCAUAUUGCAUAAGGGUUACCCAACAUGUUUUGUGUCUUUAUUUUAUACAUUAUAUUCAUAUUAUAAAUAUUAUUAUUAUUACAGGCCACUUUGAUAUGUUGACAUGUAGGAUGUGUACGUUUAUAAAUAAAAGAAAUCAGAAACUAAUCCAAAAAUUAUGUGAGUUUAAAACACUCUGAUUUCCUGUCUCCCUUAUGUGUUUUGAUUUUACAUAUUGUAUUGUUAUAUAUGUUAUUAUUUUCACAAGCCACUUUGAUAUGUUUACAUGUAAGUUGUUUAUAAUCAUAAAGAAAUCAGAAACAAAUCCAAAUCUUACGCGAGUUUGAAACACUCUGAUUCCCUAUCUUCCUUAUGUGUCUUGAUUUUACAUAUUGUAUUAAUGUUCUAUAUGUUGUUAUUAUCAUCACAGGCGAUUUUGAUGUGUUCACAUGUAAGUUGUUCAUAAUUAUAAAUAAAAUAAAUCAGAAACAAAUCAAGAUCUUA